rnacentral:rRNA from 1 species
AGUCACUGACAUUAGAUACCCGGGUAGUCCAGGGUGUAAACGCUGCAGACUUGGUGUUGGAGGCCCUUUGGGGGCAUUCAGUGCCGGAGAGAAGUUGUUAAGUCUGCUACUUGGGAGUACGUCCGCAAGGAUGAAACUUAAAGGAAUUGGCGGGGGAGCACCGCAACGGGAGGAGCGUGCGGUUUAAUUGGAUUCAACACCGUAAACUCACCAGGGAAGACUGUUACAUGAAGGCCGAGAUGAAGACUCUGCUAGAUUUUCAG